rnacentral:rRNA from 1 species
ACUACGGGGGGCAGCAGUGAGGAAUAUUGGUCAAUGGGCGGAAGCCUGAACCAGCCAAGUAGCGUGCAGGAUGACGGCCCUACGGGUUGUAAACUGCUUUUAUACGGGAAUAACGCGCCUUACGUGUAGGGCUUUGCAUGUACCGUAUGAAUAAGGACCGGCUAAUUCCGUGCCAGCAGCCGCGGUAAUACGGAAGGUCCGGGCGUUAUCCGGAUUUAUUGGGUUUAAAGGGAGCGUAGGCCGCAUGUCAAGCGUGCUGUGAAAUGUCCGGGCUCAACCCGGGCCUUGCAGCGCGAACUGGCGUGCUUGAGUCCGCGGAAAGCAGGCGGAAUUCGUCGUGUAGCGGUGAAAUGCUUAGAUAUGACGAAGAACCCCGAUUGCGAAGGCAGCUUGCUGCAGCGGAACUGACGCUGAUGCUCGAAAGCGCGGGUAUCGAACAGGAUUAGAUACCCCUGUAGUC